rnacentral:rRNA from 1 species
UUUAAACAUGCAAGUCGAACGGAAACGAAAAUAGCUUGCUAUUUGGCGUCGAGUGGCGAACGGGUGAGUAACGCGUAGGAAUCUACCCAGUAGAGGGGGAUAGCCCGAAGAAAUUCGGAUUAAUACCGCAUAAUCUCUACGGAGUAAAGAAGGCCUCUUUACAAUGCUUUUACUAUUGGAUGAGCCUGCGUUAGAUUAGUUAGUUGGUAGGGUAAAAGCCUACCAAGGCGACGAUCUAUAGCUGGUUUUACGAGAAUGAUCAGCCACACUGGAACUGAGACACGGUCCAGACUCCUACGGGAGGCAGCAGUGAAGAAUAUUGGACAAUGGGGGAAACCCUGAUCCAGCAAUGUUGCGUGUGUGAAGAAGGUCCGAGGAUUGUAAAGCACUUUCAGUAAGCAAGAAAAAUGUAAAUCUAAUAGAUUUGCAUGUUGACCACUUAUAGAAGAAGCACCGGCUAACUCCGUGCCAGCAGCCGCGGUAAUACGGAGGGUGCGAGCGUUAAUCGGAAUUACUGGGCGUAAAGGGUAAGUAGGCGGUUUAUAAAGUCACAUGUGAAAGCCCUUAGCUUAACCUAGGA